GGCAACGACCAUACCACGUUGAAUGAUACCGGUUUCCGCCCGAUUACCGAAGUUAAACAACGUCGGGCGAGGUGAGUACUUGGAUGGGUGACCGCUUGGGAAUACCGCGUGCAGCUGCCU
rnacentral:rRNA from 13 species